AUUUGGAAAGACACGAACUGGGUCACCUCCUAGGUGAUUCUGGUUAUCCAUUAAGAAAAUACCUCAUUACGCCAGUAGCAACUCCGACCACUGAGAAGGAAGUUCAGUUCAACCAAGCUCAUUCAAGUGGCCGGAUGGUGGUUGAAAGAGCAUUUGGAAUGUUAAAAUCUAGAUUCAGAUGUUUGCACAGAACUGGAGGAGUUUUAUACAAACGCCCUGGAAAGAGUUGCUAGAUUGUAACGGCUUGUUCAAGACUACAUAACUUCUGUUUAGAAAGAAACAUUCCAUUGCCAGAUAUCAACCAAGUCAUUGUUGACAGACAGGAGGAGGUGCUUGCAAAUACUGCAGAUCUAAAUGCUGUUGCUUAUCGGCAGCACCUCAUUGAGCGUUUUGGCUAGAAGACGGAUAACUGGGCCACUUUCUUAAUCUCAUCUGUACCAUUACAACAAUUAAUUGUAAUUAUUAGUCCCCUACUGGUUGAAAACCAGUUUCGGGGACUAUAGGAGUGCGCUUUUCCGUCAUUCCAUCCGUCCGUCCGCCCGCAAUUUCGUGUCCGGUUCAUAACUGUCAUCCAUGAAGGGAUUUUUAGCUCGACUAUACGCAGUAUAAGGAGAGCUAUCCUACUCGCCCUGGCGUCGGCGUCUUUCCGCGUCCCCACCUUAGUUAAAGUUUUGGUGCACUUUCUCUUUUUUCCACUUAUCUCUGUAAUUACUUGAUGGAUUUGAUUCAAGGUCAGAGACCACCAAUUCAAAAAAGUACAGGGAACUUACUGGGAAUGAGGUAAAUGUAUACCUGGGAAUAAGGUAACGUGUGUGCGUUCUGAUUGGUCAGUCAUGUAAACAAACCCAGGAAGUGAUUAUUUUUUCAAAAUUGAUAUUUUUUCACUGCAUUUACAGUAUUUUAUUAUACAUUUUGACAAAAUUUGCUACAUUUUAUGUGUAUUGAAAAAAAGGUGGUCAUCUCAUUCACACGAAAAUUACUUAAAUAAAGUAUCACUAUUCAUAUGUUUUUCGUCCGAUAUUUUGGUAGAACUAGGAUAGUUCUUGAAAAACUUGUAAUUAGAUAUACAUGUUUCGAUGUAUGGAAGGCCGUACACGCCAUAAUGUUACAAUGUAAGUCUAUUGGAAAACAGUUGGUGGUCUCUAACCUCAAACUUGAAAUACUUAUUCCUCAUCAUCAUCCACAUCAUCUGACACAAGGGCCAUAACUCUGGCACCAAUAUUUCAUGAAUUAUCCCCCUCUUCACUUAGAUUUUCAGGUUAAAGUUUUGAUGCACUUCCUCUAUCUCUGUUAUUACUGAAUGGAUUUGAUUCAAACCAACAUCAUCACCCACAUCAUAUGACACAAGGUGCAUAACUCUGGCUCCGUUUUUUCAUGAUUUAUUCCCCCUUUUUACUUACAAUUUCAGGUUAAAGUUUUGGUGCACUUUCACUCUUACCUCUAUUACUGAAUAGAUUUGAUUCAAACUUAAAAUAGUUGUUCAGCAUCAUUUUAAUAUUACUUGGCAUAAAUGUACCUCUUAAGGUAGUUCUGCACGUUUUUAUCGAAAUUGUUUCUACAAUGUAGAAUUUGAUUAAACUCUGAUUUUCAAAAACUUCAGAAUAUACCUAGAAAAUUCAGCAAAUAAAAAGAUAGGGUCGUGUGUUUGAUUUUUUGCUAGACUGAUUUGAAAAAUAGGGACCUCACAAAAUACUCCAUAACGGGAGUCUAUGGGAAAAUCAUAACAUUCAUAACAUUUUCGUGUAUAGACAUUUUUCUGCAAUGUAGAUUUUGAUGAAACUUCUCACAAUUGUAAAUAAAGACAUGGCCUAUGAUUUGAUGAUAUAAAAUGUAUAAGUCCGUGUUCUUAUUUUUGAGAUAUUUGACCAUGAUUAAAGUAAACCAGACAUUUCACGCUAAUUUUAAGAAAUUAUUUUGAAUUAUUUAACGUGUGAUAUGUUUUAAUAUCAUAUUUCGACUUUAGAAAUAUAGCAACAGAGCCACUAAUAAAUUUACUCACAGGUUGCGAUUAACCCAUAAAAUGAUUUUCAUUUCCGUACGCCGAAUCCAGUCUAUAUUCUACAUUUUCCGGAAAAAUGACGUUACGCCAUCACUUCCGGUUUAUCAAACGUGCAGAACUACCUUAAUAAGAUGAUGUGUCAUGCACAACUUUCAGACCCCUUGCUCAAAGGUCAAGGUCACACUUGACAGUCAAAUAUUAACAUGGCAUGAAAAGGGUCUGUUUCGUGUCCAGUCCAUAACUCUGUCAUUUAUGAAGAGAUUUUAAUAUCACUUGGCACAAAUGUUCCCCAUGAUGAGACGACGUGUCAUACGCAAAAUGUGGACCCCUGCCUCAAAGGUCAAGGUCACAGUUAGGGGUCAAGAGGUCAACAGGGCUUUUUUCCUGUCCGGUCCAUAACUUUGCCAUCAAUGAAGGGAUUUUAAUGUUACUUGGCACAAAUGUUCCUUAUGAUGAGACGACAUGUCAUGCGCAAUAUCUGGACCCCUAGCUCAAAGGUCAAAGUCACAGUUUGAGAUAAAAAAUCAAUAGGAUUUCUUUCCUGUCCGGUCUAUAACUUUGUCAUGCAAAAUAGGAUUUAAAUAUCAGUUGGGAAAUAUACUUCCCUGGGUGAGACAACAUGUCAUGCGCAAACCCCAGGCCCUAGGUCUUUGGUCAAGGUCACACUUAGAGGUCAAAUGUCAGAAAUAAAAAUGAAUUUGUCUUAAGCAUUUCUUCUUCAUGCAUGGAGGGAUUUUGAUGUAUAUUGGCACAAUUGUACAUCAUCAUGAGGCGAAGUGUCAUGCGCAGGUUCCUUCUUUAGAAUUACUUCCCUUUGUUGUAACUUUUUUAAAAUUGACCGUUAGAAAAAACCAAGACCACUUUUCUGUGGUACAACAUAGAUGUUACUUUCAAAUUUUAGGUUAUUACAGCUGAGAUAUUUAUAGUCAUUUUCCAGUAGGGGACUUUGUAUUGCAUGGCAAUACUUCAUUCACUUGUUUUUACUAGUAAAAUUCUUAGUGCCUACGACAACUGAAAAUAAGUUAAGUUUCUUUAUAAGUAUGUAAGUUGUAAAUGUCAACAAAAUUGAUUGAUAAUUUUGAAAAAUUUUGUAACCAUGUCAUUUUUUGGUUUCAUUGAGAUCCAGCCAACAUCUGAUAAAACUGUAUUUAUAAAUUGUAACUAUUUUUCACUUUCUGAAUUUCAUGGUACAUCUGUUACCAUCUAUUUACAUCUGAAUAUAGUUCUUUUUGUUUGCACACCAAUAUUUCAUAUGUGGUAUUAACUAAACAAUAUUUGAUGCCAAAAUAAACAUAUUGAAUUGUAUUGUUUAUAUGUUGAAAUGGACAAAAUAAUAGGAUAAAAAACACAU